UACGAAGGGGGCUAGCGUUGUUCGGAAUCACUGGGCGUAAAGCGCACGCAGGCGGCUCGUUAAGUCAGGGGUGAAAUCCCGGGGCUCAACCCCGGAACUGCCUUUGAUACUGGUAGUCUCGAGUCCGGAAGAGGUGAGUGGAAUUCCGAGUGUAGAGGUGAAAUUCGUAGAUAUUCGGAGGAACACCAGUGGCGAAGGCGGCUCACUGGUCCGGUACUGACGCUGAGGUGCGAAAGCGUGGGGAGCAAACAGG
rnacentral:rRNA from 1 species